UACGAAGGGGGCUAGCGUUGCUCGGAAUCACUGGGCGUAAAGCGCACGUAGGCGGCUUUCUAAGUCAGGGGUGAAAUCCUGGAGCUCAACUCCAGAACUGCCUUUGAUACUGGAGAGCUUGAGUCCGGAAGAGGUGAGUGGAACUCCGAGUGUAGAGGUGAAAUUCGUAGAUAUUCGGAAGAACACCCGUGGCGAAGGCGGCUCUCUGGGACGUGACUGACGCUGAGACGCGAAAAGCGUGGGGGAGCGAACAGG
rnacentral:rRNA from 1 species